rnacentral:lncRNA from 1 species
ACCCAAAAAGUAUGGGUUGAGUCGGGUUGGGUUGAUAGGUUGAAUUUCCAUUUUUUAUCUCUCCAUAAUUUUGAAAAAUUGUUCAAGGUGACAUCUAUAUGCUAUACAUUCAAAUUCGAAGUAUACAAUGUCCAUUCAAAAUGAUGUUUACUUUUAGAUUUUAGGUUUAUAUAUAUAUACACACACAUAAUCGGUUGGAAUAGGUCAACCCAACUCCUUACGUACACAACCUGGUUCAACUUUUUCUCUCUCCAAUUUUUUAACUAAACCCAACCCUUAUAGUUUGGGUUUGAUAAUUUGGGUUGGUUGGGUUAUCGGUUUUUUUAAACACCCUUAAUAUAGUUUUAAAUUUCAAUCUAAUUUAAAUAAAUGAUAUAUUAUAAUGUAUGUAUAAACAUUAUAUUAAACUAUAUCAUAUACAAUAAAUUCUCUUAAAUAAUAAUUUGAACACUUCAAAUUUACAACAUCUAGAUCUUUGUUUAAUUUUGUUAUAGCUAGCCGUUUCUCUUACGGAACUACCAUUAUAAGCUCCAAUAAUACAACAUUAAUUAACUAUGAGACACUACACUAUAGAUCCAUAGAUGCACUCUCAAGAUCCGUAAAAUACUUAUAUGUUCGCUAAUUUUUCACAAUUUUUUGUAAGUCAAUUCUUUCUAGGUUGUUCGUAAUUAUAAGUGACUUUUGAGUCAACACUUACCCUAAAGGAAUUAAUAAGUGAAUUUUGCCUUGUGGCACUAUUCUCAGCUCCCCACUCGGUAUUAUCCUCAAGAUGGUAAACUUAAUUGAGUCAACAACCAGGAUCACUCUCACACCCACACAAAUCAAAAUCAAAGAACAACCCUCGUGAGCUUUUUGUAUAUAACUCACUUAGAAUUCAAAUCAAGUUACAUAGUUAUCGUUUAAAAUAUUAAUUUAUUCAGUUAGGGGAGUUAUAACUGACUACCAUCUGCAUCUAGUUAUGUCAUGAUAGUAAGUAUAUCGUACUCGAUUACAAACUAUUUACAAUUGACUAUAAUAUUUUACUAUAUUUGUAAAUAUUUGAUUUAUUUUGGUGUAUAUGAAAACAAUAACUAUGUAUUCACACAAAAUCUUCACACAAAAUCUCAAAAUUAUGAGUAAAAAAUGAAAUGUAAAAUACAAUUUAUAUCUGACAACUCACUGAGACAUGGAAAAGAGUGUAACACUAGACAUUAUCUGAAUCAUAUAUGAAGUCUCACAUACAUAUCCUCAAGAAAAACAAUACAAAAAGACUGUUCAGUUGCAACUAAUGAUGAAUAUUCAUAGUUGAACUUUGAUCAAACACUAAAGAUUUCUUUUACCCUAAAUCCUAAGGGAUAAAAAAAAUCAUGUUAAGUAGAAAAAGAAAAAGAAAAAGAAAAAGAAAAAGAAAAAGAAAAACCCUGAACAUCCCCAUUUUCAUAUGCAUAUUAUAACACAGAACCAAUAAUUACAACUUGAGUACAAACUUUUAUUGGUAUGUCCUUUCCAAUUGAUAGGACCCCUUUUUGAUAGUAACAAAUUUCUGGAUUCAUCAUCAUCAUGGUCAUCAGCUCAAGUUCUUUUUUUUUUUUUUUUUUUCCUUUUUAAAUAAAUUUUUAUAGAGUAUAAAUCUCCUUCCUGUUAACACAAGAUGAUGUAAAAAAUAGAAAUAUCAGGUUGGGAAAAAAAUGGUGAAGCUUCCAAGUAAAAAUCCAAGUAUUCAAAACUGUCUUCUUCCAAGACAUCAUCAUUUAGGCCUACCAGGCUGAAAUCAGGUUGUGAAGAAAUUAUUCGGAUCAAUGGAAGCGAUCGGUCAUAAACACGAAAGUAAGAGCUAAGAUGAAGAUAAGUGACAUGAAAACGUCGCAAGAACGGUGGUGGGCUGAACUUGCCGUGGGAAUAUCCUUUGGAAGCGCACAUUCUUCGCCAUUGAAAAAGACUUUGUUCGGGAAACCAUCGCCCCGUAGUAUGUCGAGGUUGCGUAUACCCUUCUUGGUGAAAGAAAUAACAGAUUGUUGCUUUCCAGGAACUCUUGGAUCAGUUUUAGGAUUGGUCCCAUUAACCUCACCCAUCAAGUAAGCUAAACCAGGCAAACCUUGAAGGAAGAUUGUAUUUUUUAUUUUGGGAAGCCGGGUUCCAUUGAAGGAAUAAACGUUUUCGUAACCCCUACCGGCCUUGUUUAACUGAAUGGCAGUAAACCAAUCUUCAAAUGGAUAAUCUUCCCAAUUGAAGAGUGUUAAUCUUGCAGACCAUCCAUUAGUAUAAUCAGAGUUGAUAUGCCAAUUUAUGCUAACCCCACAAUUAUCAGGACAGGGCAGCUUUUUGGGAUUUCGGUAAUGCUUAAUUUUAGCCCAAGCUCUAGCUUUGGCUGACCUGUUGGAAAAUGGAACCAAAAGUGCUUCUGGAGGUAGGAGCAUUGAAUGUGCAUUUGGAUUGCAAGUAUCAGUAUCAAUAUCGUCACACCCACAAGCACAAGUAUUGCAUGGAAUAACAGAGUCAUUAUAAUAAGCUGAAAAUGAAACACAGCAUUUUGAUUGCUUCACCUUUGGCCUUGUAAUGUUGCAUAUAAUUUGCCAACUUGCAAUUGAGGUACUCGUUGAUUGAAGUCCACUCGGGUCAGGGAACUCCGUUGGUUCAACUCGGAGUGGUGCAGCACAAACGUAUUUCGGAUUCAGAACUCCAGAGAUCUUCCAUUUCUGUGGCGGAUUAAGGGCGGUUCUGUUCAUAUCCGGUGGAAGCUUAUAGACUUGUAGUUGAAAAAUAGACCUUGCUUUACUCUCAUCCAUUAAUGUUGGCAAUAAGCUUCCAUUCCUACAACAAUACGGCAACUUGCCGACUUUAUCAUCAUUGAUACGAUCGGCUGGAAGGUCGGCGAUUAUGGGUCGCUUAUCGCAACUCAUGACUUGAGAGAAGUCGAAAUCUUGAUAGUAUUGGCCAGCGGUACCAUAAACGCAUUGAGAUAAAUCUCUCGUAUGAGUGUAAGCUCCUCUCAUGCUUUGAAUGAAUUCUCCUCUCAUCCAUUCCCAAGUUAAGUUCCAAUGAUCGAGACGGCCAAGAGGAUUGUUGUUGUCUAUUGUAACUUGAGCGAGAUAAUUAUUUCCAUAAGCUUGCAUUACAUCGUAAGUGAGUGAGAGGUCUCCAUUUUGGCGAGCGAAAAAUUUGGUCUUUUUUUCUUUCUUCACCUUGAACUUUGGAUCCUUUUUGCAGCAUACAUGCAUUGUUCUCUUACCUACAUAUCAACAUCAUAUUAACCAAACCAAACAACUAUAACAGCUACACUAUUGGGUGGGAAAAGAUUCUGUAAAUAUGAAAUGAAUUCUAGAACAAUUUGCUUUAUGUUUGAUAGGCCUCUUUUAGUUUGGAGUUGUGAGUACAUAUUCAUGAAUAUUAAAUAUAUAUGAUGGUAAGCGAAAUUAUUAGCAAAAUUUGACUUGUUUGUUUCAACUAGAUCAUUUAUUUAAUAUGAUAUUAUCUAUACCUAAAAACUAUAUGAAUAGAAUAGAUCAAAGUUUAUCAUUUUAUUUUGUUGUGUUUGAAAGCUUGAAUUAAGGAUACCGCGAUGGCGAGGGGCAGGGCACUUAAAUCCAUCGUUCUCAAGACGGAUGGUCUUCGGCAUCGGAACACCCGGCGGCUUAAUUCCGAAUUGCGUUCCUGUGAACUCCACCGUCGCUUGAAUCUGAUUAAUAUCACCAGCGGUUUCGAUCGACGUUUUCAGAUCCGUCAUUGGAUACCCAGCCAAAGUAGUCCCAUUCCCAACAUCCACAGGGAAAUCCGACCCAUCCAUCACCACCGCACCAUUUGCCGACACCAAAAUCUCAUGGUGAUGAAAUCCAAUAAACAUCUUCCAUGCCUUCAGCUCCGUCAAUCCCGCAUUCAAAAUCACCGCCUCCGACUUAAACGCCCAUGACUGAGCCGUGGCAUUCUUCAACCGUGGCAGCUCUUUCUCCCGCGAAAUAAACGUAUAAGACAAAAAUAUCCCAUUACAUUGAUUCUGCUCUGGGGGUGGCGCAGCCGGCUUGGCUUCAUCAUCAUCAUCGCCGCCGCCGCCGCCACCACCACCGCCAAUAAUGUAAUCUUGUGAAAAACAGAGAGAAAAAUUGGAAAAAAGAAGAAGGGAAAUGAGAAGAGAAACAGAGAAGAAAUGUGGCAUUGGAAACUGCAUGCCGGAAGGAUUAGAGAGAAAAAUUAGAAAUGGUUAUUGAAUGUUAUUCUUGUUUUUUUUUUUUUUUUUUGUGUGUGUGUUUUAGUUUAAUGGGGUUUGACGGCGCCGCGCGAGAACGCGGCGGAGGAAUGGGAGGAGGGGGGGUUUGGGGAAAACCGGAAAUGAGAAAAGAGGAAAAUUGUUAUAAAAGAGAGGAGGAGGAAGAAGAAGAAGAAGAAGACAGAGUCAGGUUUAUAUUUUGGCCUCUGGUUUUACCGCCAUUUUCGCUCCUUCCGGGGAAACCGACUUUGCUUGGUUCUUCUCUUCACCUAUAUAAACUCCAUAUAGACCUAAUAUUUUUUUAUUUCAAAACUUCUUUUUCUUUUUUUCUUUACUUUUAAUAAUGUAUACAUUACAUUACAUCCUCACCUUUUUAGAUCGAUGUUUGGAAUUUUCGAUUUCUAAAUAGUAGUUUGAACAUAGUUUAAUAAAUAAUAAUAGUGUUGGUGGAGAAAUUUUGACUAAUUAGAAAUUGUUGUGUUGUUAGUGUAUGUUAAUGAUUUAUAAAUUUGAGAUCAAUUGCAAAUUUCCUCUAGUUCUCAAAUUAAAUUAAAAAGUAGUGGAAUAUAUCGGCAAAUCAAAUGAUACUCUGCAGGUUUAAGCAUUCACCAAUGGAGUAAUGUCAGCCGUUGGUUUAGUUAAUUAUGUUACAUAUCGAAGAUAACUUAUUAGUUCGAGCUUACUAAUAUAGAUUUGGUUAAAUUUCAUUCAAGUCUAAUUUGAAAAGAUUGGAAACCAUGCUUAAGUCCUCUCUUGAAAUUAUAUGGGUGUGUUUGGGAAUUUUAGUUGAGUUACGUAAGUUUGUGUUUAGGGGUAAAGAGUUGGAGUAUGAAAUGAUUCGAUAAGGAUGCAAAUUUUAAUAAUGAACAGUAUUGAAGUUGGUAGCUAGAAUUGCAUUAUGUAACACCUACUUUAGGAAGUCGAUGCUUGUGUAUUUGGCUCACCAACAUAUAUGUGUUGAGAUGAAUUUGUAUAAUUUAUCAAUUCAUUGUUUGACCCACCAACUUUAAAUUAAUACUGACGAAGUACUUGAAUUGUUAUAUUUUAUCAACGCACCUCAAUUCUCUAUUCUUCCAAGGUUUUUAAUGCUCCAUUCGUUUACUUUGAAGACCACUUUUUUACUCAUCUAACUUCGAGCCCUUGACAACUUUGUGUAACCUUUGUUUCAUGAUUACACAAUAAAACCAUAACAUUGUAUAAAACAAUAAAUGCCAAGAUUUCUUAACUACAUGAUUUUCACAAACUAAAUUUAGUUACAGAAUCACAUACCUUAUCCAUGAAUGGUCUUCUAAGGGAUUGACCUUCCUUUAGAACUUAAUUAUUUUUCAUGAUGGAGAAGAGUAAACUACGUACUUGCGGUGAGAAAAUCAAUCCCUAAGGUUCUAUUUAUAGGCAUCACCCAUCAUGCAGUUUAAUUAGGGCAUUAUCUUUUUACCUAAUGAGCCUAAUAAAAUAGUAGGCCCCAAAAAGAUAAAAUAACAUAUAGCAUAUGAGCCCCAUUAAUAAUAAUAUUAUAUUUAAAAUAAAUCUAACAUUCUCUCACUUGCCCUAAUGACAUUAUAUACCAUAUACGUUCAUAGACAUAAUGCGCAAAAUUAAACUUCAUAGCAUAUCAUAUCAAGUCAAAGAAACUACUAAAGAAUCAUGACAGUCAUACAUCAUUGCAUUAACAUACUCCCUUCCAUGUAUUACUGAAAUAGUUCUUCAAUUAACAUGAUCUAUAAUAAAGAUAAUCAAUAAUUGUUCAACAAUAAGUGUCUUUAUCAAAGACAAUGUUCUGUUUAACAUAAUUCAUUUGUGUAUAUACUAAUCAUAAAAACAGAACCAUGAGAUAAAAUUAGAAACAAUAAAAAAAUGAGCUCAAAGUGUCAAAUAAUAUAAUCUUAAUUUUAGUAAUGAUAUCUACUAAUGUCCACACAUUUAACAUGAUCAUUGAAUGUCUUUGGGUGGCAAUCCUUUAGUGAGUAGAUUUGCAAUUAUAAGUUUAGUGCUAAUGUGUUUGAUUGUCACUCUUUGUUUCUGAACAACAAAGUAUUUUAAUUUCAUAAGUUUAGCACCUUUAGAAUACCUGUUGUUUUUUUAGAAGAAAACUAUUUCAUAAUUAUCACAAUAAAUUCUCAACGGCUUGACAAUACUAUCGACAAUCCAAAGUCUUGAGAUAAAGUUUUACAACUAUAAAACAUGAAUUAUAGCCUCAAAGCAUGCUACAAAAUUCAACCUAUAUAGUGGAUGCAACAAAAAUACACGGCUUCACACAUUUUAAUGAAAUUGCUCCUUCAGCUAAAUAGGAAUAAAAUAGCCAAAAGUGAAUUUUUGUGUAUCCACACACUCAGUAAAAUAUGAAUCGGAAUAUCCAAUCACCUUAAAAUGAUCGGAUCUCUUAUAAGUAAGCAUAUAGAACAAUGAUUAUAAUUAAACUUACUCCCGCUUAUCCUUAGGUAUUAUACAUCGAUCAAUGAUGUUUUCUUUAAAACCAAAAGAUGUGAUGGUAUCAUUGCACUUAAGAUACCAUUGUUUGGAAGCUUCUUUAGGUUCAUAUAUUGACCUCUUUAAUUUACACACCUUAUGUUCCUUUCCUUCAACCAUAAAACUUUCUUGAUGAUCCAUGAACACUUUGUCAUCUAAAUUAUUCCCAUUUAGAAAGACAAUUUUCGCAUCCAUUUGAUGAAGCUCUAAAUCAUAAUGAGCUACUAUAGUGAUAAUAAUAUUCUUAAUUAGUCCUUUCUUCGAGAUAGGAGAAAAUGUCUCUUUGUAGUCAAUGCCAUAUUUCUGAGUAUAACCUUUGGCAACAAGUCUAGCUUUGUGUUAUUCGAUAUUGCCAUUUGAGUCAAGUUUGGUUUUAAAGACCCGUUUACACCCAACUCUUUUACUUUUCCUUUAAGCAAUUUACAAGGUCCUAGACUUCUUUAUCAUUCAUUGAUUUUACUUUUUUCAUGGCAUCUAACAACUAAAUUGGCAUAAUUAUCUUCUUUAAUCGCCUAUGAAAACAAAAAUGGAUCAUUAUUAAUACUUAGGUCAAAUUCUGACUCAUGCAAAUAAACCAUAUAGUCAUCAGAAAUAGUUGAUAUUUUUUGUCUUACAUAUAUUCUUAACUCUAUUUCUUGUGGUCUCUUAGUUAUAGGUUUAUUUGUUAUAACAUCAUUAUGUGGUGUUUGACCAUUAAUUUAUUCUUCUUGACUCUGCUUGUAGAUUGUUAACAGAGUCAACAACUACAAGAACAACUUUAGAAGAAGUUAUAGAUGAAGGAAUUUCCACCCUAGCUUCUUAAAUUUUCACUUAACGUGGUUUCAAACUCUCACUAAUUACAUCAUUCCCAAUGAACCUUACAUGUCCAAUUUCAACUAUUCACAUACUAUGGUUAAGACAAUAAAAUCUCUACCCUUUUGAUUUUUCUUGAUAACCAAUGAAGACACCAUUGGUUGUUCUUGAGUCCAGUUUUCUUUCGUGUGGAUAAUAAAUUCUUACUUCCGCUUGACAACCCCAAACAUGCAGGUGUCUUAAACUAGGUCCUUACUAUCCAUAAUUUAAACGAUGUCUUUGGAAGUGACUUACUUGGAACCCUAAUUUUAAUAAAUAUUAAGCAUUUCUUAAUGCAUACAUCCACAAGGACACAAAUAAAGACAAAUUAUUUAACAUGCUUUUAACCAUAUUUAUUAAUGUAUGAUUACGCUUUUCUACAACACCAUUUUAUUGUGGUCUUCUUGGUAUUGUGUAUUGAGCACCUAUACCAUGACUUUAUAGGAAUUUAGCAAAUGGGUCAAAACAAUGUGUUUUCUCUUCAUACUUUCCAUAAAUUUUAUAAAAUUCUUGGCACUUUCAAUAUUGUAAUUAAUUGUGGACUUGAUAUUAUUUGCUACAUUCAUUAGCAUAAACUUUAGACUGAAUCUAUUUGAUCUUUCCAAGCUUUAUAGAAAGAUUUAUUCUCAUCACUGCUAGCAGAAGUAAGAGUUACAGGUUUCUCGCUUAAGAGUGUCAAAUCAAGAUUCAAAACUUCAAGAUGGAAUCAGAUUUGUUUAGACCAAAAAGAGAAAUUAAGUCUAUUAAACUUGAUUAACGAAAUAAAUAUACUUAUACAUUAUUGUUUUGAGAAAUAAACAUAAAAAUAUAACAUAGGUUCAAAUAAUAUUAAGCAACCAUUAAUAUAUACAUUGAAGUUCUUCUUGGAAAGAACAAUGUGCAAUAUUUAUACUUAACUAAUGUUAUAUUUAACUUUACAUAAUUGAUAAUUUAAAUGUUUAAAUUAGAUACAUUAGAAAUUUAACGUUCCUUCAUCUCCGAUCGUCUUGACAGUCAUCCAUUAGAAAUUAGAAAAAAAAAAAAAAAACAAUACAACCUGAUAACCCAACCCAACCCAUAUUUUACUGGUUGGAAUGUCUCCCAACCCAAUCCAACCCGAUUAUACCCCUACCUAUAAAGAUGUGAAAACCUUUCUCAACUAAAACAACUUUAGGCUCCCUCUAAAGAAGUGUAGUCUAUUAUAGAAUCAAGGUAGUCUCCAACAAACUACUUACAAUCAUUAUAUUCUAUUCUCUCAAAAUUUUGUUGAACGAACAAUCAAAAUUAUAUUAUCAUGUAUUUUUUUUUACUAUAAUGUUAGAUAAUAUAGUAAAACAUUUUCAAAUAGGUGUUAUUGUAGGAUGUGUGCUAAUACUUUCCCUACACUCAAUGAUCCCCAUACCUCUUUCUGGUCAAAUAAGAUUAGUUUUAAUUUAAAACAGGUGGCCAAUCACACUCUAAAUUGAUUGGUGGCGACUCCAAACCUUUUCCUUUGAAAUAGGCCCUAUAGUUAGGGGUGGGACAUGGACGACCAUUUAGAAUCGUGACAAAUAUGUUAUUGUCUCUUUUGAAAGGAAGCCUUUAUAACUCUAACUUUCUAAAGCCUCAAAUUAGUUAACCCAUUGAGAUAUUUAACAUUCAACAGGGAUAAAAUAAAUAAAUUGAACAAAAGAUCUAUAUCUUACUCUACCUACUUAUAGUUGAUCACUUAUUACUAGUCAUAUCAACUUCUAUAUAGUAGAGGAGAUCUAUUACUAACUAAUCUGGAGAUGUCUAACUAAACUUAAUCUUGACUCAAUAGUAAUAACAUGUGUGUAUUACAUGUAUAUCUUCCUUGGUGAAAUUUAUAUCAGCCCAAAAUAAACAGGUUCAAACAGCAAUUUCUAUAACUUGGGAGUAAAACUUUCUUUUAAUGAAUUUGAAUCGAAAGAUAGUCAAAUAGGGUGAACUUGUAUCGAUUGGCUUAAGUUUCCCAACCAAAUCGACUAUGGACUAUGGUUAUUGUAGUAUAUGGACUAUGAUUAUUGUAGUAAAUAUUCAAACUGACUCCGAUGCGAUUAUUGUUCAAUUUAGGUUGGUUUAAAGUUUUGAAAUUUAAAAAAAAUAUAUGACUUAGAUUUUUGUCGAACUAACAUCAAUCGAACUUCUCCUUAUUUUCAAGAGAUCACCUUCCAAAUUGAUCGAUUUUCAUCAUACUUAACCCUCGUUUCAAAUAUAAUUAUGAUUUAUGAGAGACUCUUAUCACCUUGGAUCGUAAUGAAGUUUUAAGAGUUCAAGUUAAACCCAUAAUGAAAUUUUAGGAAUCACAAUAGUUUAACAUUGGAUGGCAGAGCCACAGAGGAAGAGUAGUGUACAUCAAUCACAUUAUCAUAGAUUGAUUACGUUUCCUGUUGGGUUAAUCGUGACCAACAUUACCAAUUUGGAUGGGGUGGGGAGGAGAGAUAUUUUGGAAAGGCAUUUUUAUUAACAAAAUAAAAAAAAAGAAGAGAGGGAGAAAAAGGCAACUGAUAUUUUUUGUCUUUCCCCAAACCCUAUUGUGUUAUGAAAACACAAAAAAGCCAAACACAACCAUCGCCCCUUUUCGUUUACUGAAAACUCACUACAAACAAACAAACAGCACCAUAAAACCCAAAAGCAAAUAUUUCUUCCAAAUCAACAUCCGCCGGCUACUAAACACUUUAAGCAUCUGCAACUUCCGGUGACUCUCCCGCCGCCAGUAGCAACUCUUCCUCUUCAAGUCCAACCUUUCUUUCUCCCAUCUCUCCUUCAUCCCCAAUGCUGUUCGCCUCUCCCAAUGACUUUAGUGCCAAGUGUGCUGCCUUCUGCCCUGAUAUCAUCAUCGCCCCGAACGUUGGCCCCUAUGAAUGGCACAGUUUAAGACUAAUAAAUAUGGGUAUAACGAAAUCUUUCGGUGGUAGCAUCUAAUGCAGAUAGCUACCGGAGUAAACAAGUUAGUAGUGAUAGACCCAGAUAAACUCUGAAAAGUGUAAACUCAUCUAAAUGCUGCUAUAUUUUACUGUAUCAUGAUUAUUAAACGGUCUAAAGCAAUAAUCUCUCUCUAGUUAAUUUGUUUACCAUUCUUGGAGCUCCAUCGAUCUCCGCAACCUCCAUGCCGGUGACAAUCAUGCCAGGAACGACCUCUCGAGUGAAUCGAACAAUGGCAUCCUCAGCAGUGUUCAUGUCAAGGGCCUUCAUUCCCGGGACACUAUCAAUCAUGCCGAUGCUCUUGAGGCGCUUGACUCCGGUAGCGCCAAAAGGUCCAUCGUGGCCACAAGAGCUCACAACCACCUUAGCCUCCAUCACAUUGGGGUCCAUGCAGGACUGCGUGUCAUGGUUCAUUGACACAAGAGCCCAGUUGGUGACAACACCGCCAACUCUGCCGCCCUUGACAAUCAAAUCCUCUGCCGCCACGGCGUUGAACAGCUUCACGUUCGGCCGGGCCAAGAGCUUGCUCAUGAUCGUCGACGUGAACAGAGCCGCGUGCUUUAUCACGACAUAGUCGUCUUGCUCGUCAUACUCCACACCCACCUCAUCCAAGAACAAAUGAGCUGGCUUACGAACCACCUAUCAAACAUUAAAUUUAACCAACAUCAAUCAGAUGAACAAGAUCAGAAUAUUUGUCUGCGAUGAAAAUUAAUCUAAUUUUUUAGGGGAUCACAAGAUCUGUAAACUAUUUCCCCUCAAAUUAAUGAUUAUGAUAUUAGUUUCUGGGUUUCUUUAUUUCUGAUCUCUAUUAAAAAGAAAUGAUUUUUUUUAGUCCAAAUACGGCAUGCAUGAAAGCUGAUUGGGUGAUUUUCAAAAUUUUGGUAUUUUCAAGAAAAGAACAAAACAUAAAAUAAAAACAGAGCAUCCAUUCAAAUUUGGAAAGUGAACUUGUUACCAUAGCAGAGAAGAGUUGGCCGCCGAGCCAUGCACCGCCACCGGGGCUGACGGAUUGUUCGAUGAUGGCAAUACGAAUAUUGGGGUUUUUGCUGAGUUCGUAAGCGCAAGAGAGGCCGGCGGAGCCAGCGCCGACGAUGACAACGUCAGUAUCAGCGUAGGUGAUCAUAUCGGUCAUGUAUCGACGGGUCAUCUCUCGAGAGACAAUAGAUUCUCUGAUAGGGUUGAAUUUGAAUUGGUUUAAAUCGUAGGGAGGCUGAGAGGCGGAGGCAGAGAUGGUGAGGGACGUGGCGGCGGUGGAUUUGAGGCGGAGAGAAGAAGGAGAGGCGAGAGGUGUGCCAUGGAAAGAGGAAUCAUGAAGUAAAGAAGGUUUUUGGAGCUUGGUGGUGAGAGUGGAGGCAAUGGAAGCCAUUUUUGAAGCAGAGGAAAACAGAGGAGAUUGUAGUUUGGUGUGGGGAAGAAGAG